rnacentral:rRNA from 1 species
GACGAACCGAGCGAACGUUGUUCGGAAUCACUGGGCUUAAAGGGCGCGUAGGCGGGCUGUCAAGUCUGGGGUGAAAUCCCACGGCUCAACCGUGGAACUGCCUUAGAUACUGACGGCCUCGAGGGAGAUAGGGGCGAGCGGAACUGUGAGUGGAGCGGUGAAAUGCGUUGAUAUCGAUAGGAACUCCGGUGGCGAAGGCGGCAUACUGGUCCACUUCUGACGCUGAGGCGCGAAAGCCAGGGGAGCAAACGGG